UACGUAGGGUGCGAGCGUUAAUCGGAAUUACUGGGCGUAAAGCGUGCGCAGGCGGUUAUGCAAGACAGAUGUGAAAUCCCCGGGCUCAACCUGGGAACUGCAUUUGUGACUGCAUGGCUAGAGUACGGCAGAGGGGGAUGGAAUUCCGCGUGUAGCAGUGAAAUGCGUAGAUAUGCGGAGGAACACCGAUGGCGAAGGCAAUCCCCUGGGCCUGUACUGACGCUCAUGCACGAAAGCGUGGGGAGCAAACAGG
rnacentral:rRNA from 1 species